rnacentral:misc_RNA from 1 species
GAAAUGCGAUAAGUAAUGUGAAUUGCAGAAUUCAGUGAAUCAUCGAAUCUUUGAACGCACAUUGCGCCCGCCAGUAUUCUGGCGGGCAUGCCUGUUCGAGCGUCAUUUCAACCAUCAAGCCCCGCGCUUGUGUUGGGGACCUGCGGCUGCCGCAGGCCCUGAAAACCAGUGGCGGGCUCGCUGUCACACCGGGCGUAGUAGAUUUUAUCUCGCUCAGUGCGUGCUGCGGGUUCCGGCCGUUAAAAAGCCUUUUUUACCCAAGGUUGACCUCGGAUCAGGUAGGAAGACCCGCUGAACUUAAGC